rnacentral:lncRNA from 1 species
GGGAGCCUCGAACGGGCUGCCAGAGAGACAGUCUGUAAUUGAAUGUUCUUUCAAGAGAAGGACUUCUAUCAGGCCUGCCAAGGGAAUAGAGGCUCCACCUGCUGACUUUUUUAUGUUUGCCGACUCCGAAAGAAUGCAAAGCAUAAAGAAAUUGAAUGGCAGUUAUUUCUUUUAUAAUUUCUCCACGGAAAUAUAGUUUUCAAAACUAUCGAUGAGAUACACCAGGCGAACUCGGGCUUUCAAGAUGAAAUUGCAAUCUAUAGCUUGUUCUAAGAGUGGGGAUUAUAGCUGGCUUCCCUGAGCCAGCAUAAGUAAUUACUUUAAUCUGUAACAACAUAUAAAUUCAUAAAUUGUUGCCACCGUGGCUCUCAGGGAGUACUUGACUUUUCAAACCGUGGCUCUCGGCCGUAAAUUUACACUACACGGCUGGUCCAAGUGUGUGCUGUUUUAAGAAGCUACACAGUCCCUCGUUAUAGUCUGGAAGCGAUGCUAGGCGUUUUCGAUCUGAGGAAUAAAGAUGAAAUCCUAGUGAAAACAUUAGUAUUUUCAAUAGCAUAGACGCGAUUUGAGUAUUUGUUGCCCGC